UACAACAUAGCACUAAUGCAUUGAAGCCCAUUCGAAAUUUGCAGUUAAGCGUGCUCAAGCUAGAGCAGUACUGGGAUGGGUGACCGCCUGAGAAUUUCUAGUGUUUUAC
rfam:Picea glauca, whole genome shotgun sequence.